UACGUAGGGGGCUAGCGUUGUCCGGAAUCAUUGGGCGUAAAGCGCGCGUAGGCGGCCCGGUAAGUCCGUUGUGAAAGUCAAAGGCUCAACCUUUGAAAGCCGAUGGAUACUGCCGGGCUGGAGUCCGGAAGAGGCGAGUGGAAUUCCUGGUGUAGCGGUGGAAUGCGCAGAUAUCAGGAGGAACACCUGUGGUGUAGACGGCUUACUGGACCGCAACUGACGCUGAAACACGAAAGCGUGGGUAGCAAACAGG
rnacentral:rRNA from 1 species